UCCGGUAUUGAAAUAAUAAUGUUGUUUGGAUCAGAACUAUAUAAACCAGUUAAUGAUAAGUAAUCUUAUUGAAUAACUGUUGAAUAGAAUUUUACAUGAUAAUAUUAUUCAACUAUCAUAUUGAUGAUAUAUGAAUCCUAUUAUUUUUUUUAUCAACUAUAUUAUUUGUUAAAAGAUAUUUUAUAUUCAUACUAGUAUGAGUGUGAAGGAUUCUUAGUGGACUGUAAAGCUCACAGCCCUUCUUUUCCCUUUCGUAGUUAUAAGACACAGUUUUGAAUGGGUUCGAGUUGGAAUUCAAGCAAUGGAGUAAUUUAUAAGCUUUGCAUGAUCUCUAAGGCUUCAUUUUGGAAUUCAUGCGGAUGUAUCACGUGAUCGAUUCAGAUGUUAGGUUCGGGGUGUGGCAUACCAUUCCUCUCAAUCUCUUUCCUUCCAACAAUUCUACCCCACUCCUCUCCCUUCCCUGUUAUUGUUGUAUGCUAUUCUCUAGCAUUAAACUUUAUAACCUAAUUGAUAGUUAUAAAGCCAUAUUUGAAAAUUAAGUAAAAGUUGGAGGUACAAGGAACAAUAGUAGAAACAACAAGACAAAAACUAGUAACAUUAACUAUACCCAUG
rnacentral:lncRNA from 1 species